rnacentral:rRNA from 1 species
GACGAACGCUGGCGGCGUGCCUAAUACAUGCAAGUAGAUCGCUGAAGGAGGAGCUUGCUUCUCCGGAUGAGUUGCGAACGGGUGAGUAACGCGUAGGUAACCUGCCUGGUAGUGGGGGAUAACUAUUGGAAACGAUAGCUAAUACCGCAUAAUAACAGUUGUUGCAUGACAACUGUUUGAAAGGUGCAAUUGCACCACUACCAGAUGGACCUGCGUUGUAUUAGCUAGUUGGUGGGGUAACGGCUCACCAAGGCGACGAUACAUAGCCGACCUGAGAGGGUGAUCGGCCACACUGGGACUGAGACACGGCCCAGACUCCUACGGGAGGCAGCAGUAGGGAAUCUUCGGCAAUGGACGGAAGUCUGACCGAGCAACGCCGCGUGAGUGAAGAAGGUUUUCGGAUCGUAAAGCUCUGUUGUAAGAGAAGAACGAGUGUGAGAGUGGAAAGUUCACACUGUGACGGUAUCUUACCAGAAAGGGACGGCUAACUACGUGC